AUUCAUGUUCGACUUUUACUACUUAUUGAAAUUCUAUAAUGUUGAGAUUUUUACUUUUCUUAUGCAGAUUCUUCGUCAAUUGUGUUUUCUUGAUUUAAUUUUAUGUACAGUAUUUCGCUUGAAAGAAAAUUGCAGCAUUGGUCACCUUUUAUGUGUUAAUAAAGCAUCAUGACCCUUUGGUGGGUUGAUCAAUUGCAUUAAGUAAUAGAUGAAGGAUCCAUCUUAUCCACAAGUGCAUUUGCCUUUCGAUUCCGUCAUCAAAUCUACACAGUCUAGUGGAUUGGAUAGAGUUUGAUCAUGGCUUAGAAUGAACAUAAGUUCUAUGCUUAACACAUGCGAGUCGACAACAUCCUGCUUUCUAGUCUCCCUUUCAAACUUGUAUUAGGAUAUUGGGGAAUAACAUUUUAUGAUGUACUAAUAUCUUAAGCAAAGUACAUUUCGUAGCUUAAGUGAAUAUAUCAAAUAGGGUAAAUAGCAUAAAACAUCUCUAUAUUUCAAUGUUAUUGUGCAAAACGUUCAUACAUUUUAUUUUUAGACAUUUUCACCCUAUUUGCCACCUUUCAUUGCGCAAAAAUGUCAUUUUCAUCCAUUUUCCAAUAAAAAGACAAUUUUACCCUUGUAUUCAAAUAAAACAAAAAAAAAAAUAAAUAAAAGAACUCAAUAGCAACAAUAGUGCCAAAUUUUCAAAAAUUACAAAUUACUCACAAAUAUAUAAUUAAAAAUCAAAAUUCUUGUUUAUUUAUUUAGUGGAGGAAGAACAUGACUAAUUUUUGUUUAUUUAGUUUUUAUUUUUAAUUAUAUAUUUGUGAUUAAUUUGUAAUUUUUUGAAAAUUUGGGACUAUUGUUGCAAUUAGUUCAUUUCAUUUCAUUUUGCUUUAUUUGAAUAGGCGGGUAAAAUCGUCUUUUUAUUGGAAAAAUGAAUGAAAAUGACAUUUUGUGCAACGAAAGGUGAAAAUAGAGGUAAAAAUGCCAAAAAAAUAAAAGGUAUGAACGUUUUGCACAAUUACAUUGAAAUAUAUAGAUGUUUUGUGCUACUUACCCUAUCGAAUAAGAUCAAACUAGAUGUGAUAAAAAUUUGUCAACUAAUUUAUUGGUUACUGAUAUUCGAUCAAGGCAUAUUGAGACGGUCUAUAAUUGUCCACGAGAGUCUAUUCCCGUUAUGUCACCCACAAGGAGUUGUCACAUUAAAAGGCAUAACUCAUCACAAAAUCUAAGUCACCGUAGCUCAUAUCGAGUCAAUGCAUCAUGACACUCGAUCAAACAAAAGAAAAAACAAACUGUAAAAAAAAGCCAACAUAGUAGCAAGACGCUAAAUUUUGCAGAAACUAGCUUUGCAAGAAGGUACUCAACUAGACACCAAUGUGACAAACACCAGAAAUACAAGAACAUGACAUUAAAGUGCAUUAGGUAUGUAAAGACGAUAUGGCCCCUAAUAGAAUUCCAAAAGAUGCAACAUCCAAUCUCUAUUAUCCUAUGGUAGAUAGACAUUUAUUUUCUCAUUCAAUGCUUUAUUUAACUACACAGGCUGCAAGAUUCUUGUACACACAAGAUUUCUUGCAUAAAAUCAAAUAAUCAAAAAUAUUAUGGAUCACGGAAGUUUUAUCUAAUAAAUAACAUCUCUUGUGAGAUCACAUAAUAUCAAAGGGAAAACGCUUGUCUUCAUCUCCACUUUUCGGUGAAAUUUUACCAAUAAUCCACAAACUCAAAACUUAUAUUUGUAUUUGGUGAGAUCAUAAAGAAAGAAAUAGUGUACAACAAUUGAUUAUGCUAUAGCACUAAUGCAGCCGAUAAAAAUUAAGAAGCUUGUUUGAACUUUUGCCAACAGUAUAAAAUUCCAACAUUUCUUCUUCUACCGGGUGAACGUUGCCUACUAUGACGAGGCAAUGCAAAGGUGAUCCAAAAUCUAUUGUCAAAAGUUGCUUCAUCGAACCUGCGACUAUUGCUUGAUCUUCACUGCCUACUCGAGCCAAACCAACACAUGAAGUGUCCUUAAUAUAUGCUGCAAUUCGGAUAGCGUGCAAUGAUCAGCUCAGGUUUAUAAUGAUUGUUGUUAGUGGUUUCCACUCAUAUCAUGAAGUGAUUCUUUUUAUUUUUAAUGUGCAACUCUUAUUAUAACUUCGUAGGAAUUGCAUAAAAUGGCGAGAACUCAUGAACAUACCUAAUUCUCUACGGUUUUGCUCAAUCUCUAAGAGCUAUUCAAUUGCAGCGUUUAUUGUCAUAUACCUUGGUGGCUCAUACUCUCUUUUUCCUCUGAAAUAUCACGAGCAAACAUGUUAAUAUUGGUCCAAGUAAUUGAAUGUAUGUGCAGGAGAAAAAUGGAGUGAUGGAAAAUAAAGCAAGGUUGAGUUCUAUAAUGAUGGGACAUAUUAGCCUCGUCACUAUGCACAAGGAUUCUAGUGAGGGUUCCAUCACUCGUAUAUCUGAAAAUAUCAAAAUGUGCAGUAAGUUUCAAAAAAUACAGACAUUUAAAAAUUAACCACUACAUAUCAACUCCAAGAGUAUAAGAAUAAAAAUGUUGACUCUACCUAACAAGCAAAGUGUGUGCAAUCCGAGUGUUCUAUUUCUUCUAAUAUUUUCGUAAAAACUAUCAGGCCUCCAGCAAGGACGGAUCUAGCCACUCGAGUGAUCUAGGGCGGAGCAUCGAACGACCAUUCAGCGAUCAUCCAAUAGAGCAAGAUUGUUUAUUAAUAUUUAAUUAAUUUAUAUUAAAAGAAUCUUCAAUCAAUAUAUAAAUACAUUAAAAUAUAAAAAAUCAUAUACAUAUGAAAAAAUAAUUCUACACAACCCAAAAUAAUAAAGAAUAAAAAUACAUUUUUUGAAUCAUAUAUGCACGAUCAAAUUUCAAAUUUUAUGAACUUACACGAGACAAGAUGAAGUUUAUACGUACAAAGUGAUUAAAUGAUAAAUACAAGCUUGGAGUUUAGGCGUAACCUAUUCAAAAUUUUUAAAACGGUGAAUUUUAGAUAUAUUUUUUUACCUUAAAAAAGAAAAGUGUUUUUCGAACACUUAAAAAAAUAAAGAUCGGUAUUUAAAAUAGUUCGAAUUUGAAUUAAAUUAAUAAUAUCUAACAAUAAAAUUAUAUAAUAUAAAGCAAUAAUUUAAGCCAAUAAAUUUUUAAAACGGUGAUUUUUAGAGCUACUUUUUACCCCCAAAAAGAAAAAUAUUUUUGAACUCUUAAAAGAACAAAAAUCAAUACUUAAAUUGUCCAAAUUUGAAUUUUACAAAAUAAAUUGAUAAAAAAAAUGACCCAAUAAAAUAUAUAUUAUGAAGUAAAAACUUGAGUUGACAAAUUUCUUAAAGAAAUUAUUUUCGAAACAAAAACUAAUAAUAUAGAAUUGUUUAGCUAUUAUUUAUUGUGUUAAAAAUCAAUAGAAGAAGUGGAGAUUAAGGGAAUUGAACUCCAUGCCUCUCAAAUGCAAAGCUAACAAUUUACCAUUUGAGCUAUAGCAUUUUUGUCCAGGAAAGUAGACACUAAUUUUAUAGAGUUAUUUAAUUAUAUAAAAAAUUCAAAAGACAAGGUGGUGGAAGAGAGGAAUCGAACACCAUGCCUCUCAUUUGCAAAACAAGAGCGCUACCAUUUAAGCCACAACCACUUUGUUGUGAAUGAAGUGAAGCUAAAUAUAUUUAUUUUUUACACUUCAUUUAUAUGCAAAAUUUUCUCUCGCCAGAGCCAGCACGGGCGGCUGUGCCGGCUAGCCAGGUGCUGGCUCCGUCCCUGGCCUCCAGUUCUCUGUGAAAAAAGGUAUUGAAAUUGUCUCCCCAUACCGAUAAAGCUAUAACCCGCAAACUCCAAUUGCAUUCAUCACUGACGCAUUGUGUACCACCUUAACAUCAACCCCCAACUUCUUCGCUCAGACAACAAGAUCGUGUGGGUUGUUGCUCUUUAUUGGUCAUAAAGUAGUAAUCACAAGCCAACAAAAGUUGAUGGCUCGUUCGUUCUUUUUUUUUUUUCUUUUAAUAACUUCUGGGCGCCUGUAGAGUUAGUUUUAUAAAUUUAUUUUGUCUCAAAAGUAAUGAAGAAUUUGAGCAGAUAUAAAUGCGUACAAGAGAGUGUUAUUUACCAAAUCUACUGUAAGAAAAUCAUUUUAUUUUGCUUGCGUCAGGUUAUUAUACAUUCUCUCUUUUUAGAAUCUUACCCUAGAGCAGAAGCAUCGUCGAUGAAUUAGUUUACUCAUUUGGGAAGAAUGAAUAGCAAGGUGAAAGUUUUGAGAUUGGGAAAGGUAUCUCCAUUAUUGAUAUGUUUGGUAUAUUUAAACUCGACAGCUGACAAAUAUAUGAACACAGAUGCUUACUUUUUAUGACUUUCUAAUGCUGCUAUUACUUACAUGCACCUUGUUUUCGACACAAUUUUUUUACUUGAGCUUGCAAGGUUUUAUACAGGUAAAUCAAUCCAUCCAAAAGCUUGAAUGGUUAUAAAUGUAGGAAUUGGUUCAAAUAAUUAACCAAAAAAUGGAAAAUGAAGAGGUGUGUAAAAGUGGAAAAUGAAAAGGUUUGACUACGUGUCAAUUUCGACUAAAUAUUUGGACUUGAUCUGAUGGUCAAAUUAUAAAAGUAAAUAGAUCAACUUAUUCUACUCAUUGAGUAGAUCGUCGUGGUAUAUUUGGAAUCUCGAAACUAAUUACGGAUGAAUGAGAAAUUACGGUCCAAAGUUGGAAGAAAUGAAGUGUUGCAACUUUUCGAAAGGAUGCAGGUUUUGGCCAAGUAUUGCAACUUUUUGAAAGGAUGCACGUUUUGGCCCACACUACUUCAUUUGCACCCUUUCUGCAUCUAUAAAUAGAACCCUAUGAACAUGAUUUUGGGUACACCAAUUGUAUUGAGCAUUCAUUCUCCUUUUGCAAUUCUUUCAUUUCUAAUUCUAUAGCAUUUUCAUGCAUUUCCUUGGUAGAGAGAGAAUUCCAUUUGAGUUCGCUGGUCGAAGUCAUUUGGAGUGCUCUUAUGGCUUAACGUGGUCCUUGUAUUUUGGGAGAUGAUUUUCGAAAAAUCAUUAGCACUGAUGCUGGGCAAAUUCAUCUUAAGGACCAAGUGUUAAACACUUGCCUCGACCAAAAAUUCAUCACUUGCAUCUUUCUUCCUACAGUUUUCUGAUUUCUUUUGAUUAUAUUUUGAUUUCGGGAAAUGAUUAACAUUGUUUACAUGUUUAUGUUGCAAGGUUCGAUCAAAAGAAUAAUUUGCUUACGUUCAAGAAUCAAAAGGGGUGAAUCCAUAUUCAUGCAUUCAGAUUCGGUAACUUUUAUAGUUUUGCUUCUCAAAUCCUAUUUUUGUAAGUCGAAAUUACGUUUCGAUUUUACGCAAAUAACCGGUAUACUUUUGUGAAUAUAAUAAGCACGUAAUCCGUGUAAAUUUCCCCAAUAAUCUUAAGAUGAAUUUUGUUGAUUUUCUCGUGCAUUUUAUAUUUACGUUCUUGGAAAUUAUAUAGUGUGUAAUUCUGAAAAUUGUGUAUAAACACGUGAAUUUGUAAACUGACAAUUGGUUAAGCACUUAAAUUAAUGGUAUAUAUGAUAUUCCAAAUAAUUGUACUUGCCGAAAUUGUGAUACCAAUUGGAAAGUUGGCAGUUUUUUGUUGGCAUCUUUUAAUUAAACAAGUGGUUUUGUGCAUGAGGAAUCUUGAUUGGGUGUUUGUGUACUCAUAUUGAUGGUUCUGUUCUCCAUGAAACAGAAUUCGUGCAAAAAUAAUUGGAGCCAGAAUGUCUUAAUAUAUUCUGAUGAAUUAAAUAAAAUAUGCAUAUUGUUGAAGGAUGUAUCUUACACAUUUCUAAAAUGGCAUGAAUUGGUCUUUUACCAUAAGUUGUGCUACCAAGUAAAAUUGCCUUGCAUACGAACGAGUGCUUAUACGAAAAGAUGCAUAUUUAAUGAAUAAGUUAUUGGUUUAAUGAUAUUAAAUAAAUUACAUGAAGGGUUGCUUCAAUUUAUCUAGUAAUUAAUUACUUGUGCAAUUGUGAAUUUAAUUAUGUUUUAACUGCCUAUUAUGCCGUCCAUUCGGUUAUAAUAUGAUGAAAAUUUUAAUGUUGCAAUUGUUACACAUGGCUGCUGUAAUGUAAGUGCAUGUGACUUCUUGGUUUAAAUGCAACUGUGAUGGCACCUUUAACGCUAGGAUUAUUGAGUCAGUUCAAAAUUAAAUGAUGAAACGGCCAUUAAAAAUAUGAUAAUAAAAGAAUGGUUGCAAGCCCAAUACGUGUUUUCAUGAGACCAGUUGGUUCAAUUUUUAAAUAACCAUUUAUGCAGACAUAUACUUCAAUUGCAUGAUCAUGGAUAUAAAUGAAUUUGGUGGCAGCCUUUAUUAUUUGAAUUAUGAAAUUGUGGCAUGGUGACCUUUCAAUUUUAAUUGCAAUUUAAACCCUGUGUCAAAAAGGGAUCUAUUUGACUUGUCUAAUUCAUUAUGUAAAGAAUCUUGAAUUGUUUUUUUUUAGCCAUGAAAUUGUUAGAUUCUAUGAAUUGUUUAUUGGCGUGAAAAUUGAGAACUAAAUCGAUUUUGCCAUGGAAUUAUACGUAAAAGUGGGUUAUUGCACAUUUUCGAUUUGUUAACUUUGUGCAAAAUGGGACUCCAAAUCAUGAUAUAUGGUGGGUUCUAUUCAUGGAAUAAAGUUUCAUUAAAUAUGUGUUUAAUGAUAUAUUUAUUCUCCAUUCACGUUGGAUAUUAAAUUCUGACUAUGAUUCAUUGAAUUAUAAAAUACAUUUCAUGCCUCAUUUUGUAACUGUCAUUUGAAUAAAUAUUUGAAAAUAAAUUAUUUGCACAUGCUCUCUUAAGGAUGCAUAAGUUUUGACAUUCACCCAUAUGAUUAAUGGUUGGAGUUUUAAAAUGCAUACUAUGUAAUAUAGUAUGAUAUUCCAUAUGGGAAAAUUCUAAAGUGUUAGAAUUUUGUGAAACAAAGGGCAUGAAUUUGGUGACUUUUCAUUCUAGUAUGAACUGAUAACACCUGUAAAAUUUGGUAUAUGCAUAUACUGUAAGCUGGUAAGCUGCCAAAUACGGUAAGCUACCAUAUACGGUAAGUUGCAUAUACGGUAGGUCGUAUAUACGGUAAGCAGCACGCAUAUACGAUGAGUUGCAUAUAUAGUAUGCGUCAAUCCGGUAAGUGACAUAUACGGUAUGUGUCAAUACGGUAAAUUGUAAAUCCGGUAUAUGUCCAUUCGAUAUUGGUUUGAAAAUAAUACAAACCUUGAUUUAUGAUAAUAGCCUCAUUUAAUUCUAUGAAAUUAAAUGAGAUGACUUAUGCAAAAUUAUAGUUGCAUAAGAGUAUGAUAAAAUGAGAUUUUGUCCUAAUUAUAAUGGAAAUCAUUAUUUAGUAAUGAGAAUUCAGUCGCUUAUUUAUUUGGAAUUGUUGGAAAAUUGUAGAAAAUUUCGCAUAGAAAGAUGUGUCUUUUCAUAUGGAGAAUCAUGACUUUUGGUAUGAUUAAUUUCCAAUGGGUGUGUCUCUUUAUAUAGAUUAAUUCAAGAGGUGCGUCCUCUUGUAGAAUUGUGUCUUUUAAGAACACAACUUUUCAACCGACGGUUGAAAUGAAACUAUCAUGUGAAAUGUCACAAUUGUGACAAGUUGCAUAUGUUUGAAGAAGUUGCAAUGCUUAGCCCCCUUUAUUGUUGAAUUUGACUUCAAUCAUGAAAUCAAUUAAGUUGGUAUAUGCUUGGAAAACAUUGUUGGUCCAUAUGAUGGCCUUUAUUUAGUUUGGAUGAUCAAAAUUAAUUAGAUUGAAGUACGUUAUGUGCAACUUUAAUUGAAAUAAAUUGUGAGUCAACGACCACUACUUUGAAAGUAUUUAGACUUUCACGAAGCACUCUAUACGGAUAUUAUCAAAAGAUAAAUGAAUAGAACUAUGAAAAAGUUGCUGAAUCCUAGGUUCAAUUGUAACCCAAAGAUGUGGGGGUUAUCAUAAAUAAUCGUGAACUUGAAUGAAAAGUUUAAAACUUAUGGAUGCAACGUUACUAGAUUGCAUAUGUAUUCUUAAUUGAGGAAUUGUGGGGGUAACUCGUGAACUUGAAUGAGAAGUUUAAAACUUGUGAAUGCAACGUUACUAGAUUGCAUAUGUAUUCUUAAUUGAGGAAUUAUGGGGGUAACUCAGUUUAACAGUUACGUUUACUUCUAUCUUAUAAUCAAAGAACGAUACCUUUUGAUGGUGGAAAGAUAGAAAACCCUUAUACUAAUUAUAAGGAUCAUAUAUACUAAGUCUAAAGUGGAUAAAAUGGGUUGUAAAGCCGAUUAUGGCGUUUGUUUAGACAUGCAAGAACAAUUGGAAUAUAUGAAGAAUAUUCAUAAAGUUCGAAUACAUGGUAAUGUUUCAAUGAUGAUAUUGAAUACCCACGAUUCUAAAAUUCACUUGUAAACAUGGUUGAUUAGUGUAAUAAUUAGAUAGAAAAUCCUCUAACAGUAUUGUUUGAAAAUUGAUAAAGUUUUAGAUAAAACUAAUGAGGCAUGUAGCUUCAUAAGAGGAUUUCUUGGUGGUGAUAAUUUGUAUCAAUCAAAUAAAUCGAUCAUUAGCUAGAAAUAUUUGAUAAGAUACUAAGUCAUAAGUAACGGUAAGUCUAGACGUAUAAGUUAUAGACGUAAUACCGUUAAGCAGUUGAUCUCAAUAAUGUAAACUUGUGGUACCUUUAAAGAGAUUUACUAAGAAAGAUCACGAAUACUGCAUAUCGAAGGGAAUGAGGUAAAGCCUACUACGUUAGAGUCCUUGUAAUGGUAACUCUACCUUGUUGACUAGAGAUCCCAAUAUCUUGGUUCAAAGAGACAACUAAGUUAUGGGGAUUCCACGAAGCAUUUAGGAAAAUAAUUUCCUAACUCAUUAUUAAAGUGUUUUCUGUAGAGUUGCAAGAGGUUAAGAUAAUCUUUUAAUGAUUCUUAAAUCUUGAUUAAGUCAAGUGGAGUAAGGCAGAACACUCUUAAUAGGAGGUCACCUAUGUGAGUAUGAAGUGUGGUCGCUUCAAUAAGAAUUAUUCAAAACUUAAAUUCUCUAAACACUCGCAGAACCAAGGGUUCAGGGCCAAAAUGAACCAAGUCAUGAGAACCAUGAACGGUUUAGAGAAGACAUUGUGUGAGUAUCAUUGUCUUGACUUAUACUAAAGGCUGAAUGGUUCAAGACAUCACAUUCACCAAUUAGCUAAGUAAGUCCGAUGAUAUUUCACUAAGGGAGGUUCAAGGCCAGAAGCUACCUUCCCUGAUGCAGUGUUUUUUUGCACCCUCUCUACAUUGCAUCAUAUCAUUGCAUUUGCAUAUACGUACCCAAUUUCCAUUCAUGUGGGGGAUUGUAGGAAUUGGUUCAAAUAAUUAACCAAAAAUUGGAAAUUGAAAAGGUGUGACAACGUGUCAACUUCGACCAAAUAUUCAGACUUGAUCCGAUGGCCAAAUUACAAAAGUAAAUAGACCAACUUAUUCUACUCGUCGAGUAGAUCGUUGUGGUAUAUUUGGAAUCUCGAAACCAAUUUCGGAUGAAAGAGAAAUUACGGUCCAAAAUUGGAAGAAAUGAAGUGCUGCAACUUUUCGAAAGGAUGCAGAUUUUGGCUGAGUGUUGCAACUUUUUGAAAGGAUGCAUGUUUUGGCCCACACUAUUUCAUUUGCACCCUUUCUGUAUCUAUAAAUAGAACCCUAUGGACAUGGUUUUGGGUACACCAAUUGUAUUGAGCAUUCAUUCUCCUCUUGCAAUUCUCUCAUUUCUAAUUCCAUAGCAUUUUCAUGCAUUUCCUUGAUAGAGAGAGAAUUCUGUUCGAGUUUGCUGGUCAAAGUCAUUUGGAGUGCUCCUAUGACUUGAUGUGGUCGUUGUAUCUUGGGAGAUGAUUGUCGAAAAAUCGUUAGCACCGAUGCGGGGCAAAUUCAUCUUAAGGACCAAGUGUCAAACACUUGCCUCGACCAAAAAUUCAUCACUUGCAUCUUUCUUCCUACAAUUUUCUGAUUUAUUUUGAUUAUAUUUUGAUUUCGGGAAAUGAUUAACAUUGUUUAUAUGUUUAUGUUGCAAGGUUCAAUCAAAAGAAUAAUUUGCUUUUGUUCAAGAAUCGAAAGGGAUGAAUCCAUAUCCAUGCAUUCAGAUUCGGUAAUUUUUAUGUUUUGCUUCUCAAAUCCUAUUUCGGUAAGUCGAAAUUACGUUUCGAUUUCACGCAAAUAACCGGUAUGCUUUUAUGAAUAUAAUAUACACGUAAUCGGUGUAAAUUUUCCCAACAAUAAAUUAGACAAAUUUAUUAUUUAUGUUUAUUUUAAAUGCAAUGGUUUAGAUGUACACUGCUCAUUUUUGAAUAAUGCUAUUCAUCAUUAGUUGUGAUCACUGGUUUAGUCCAAGUAUCAUACGUUGAAUUUUUUAAGAUUUUCUUUGAAGAGUUUGAUUCGCCAACAAAUGUUUCAAUCAGGUUCCUAUUCAUUCAUCAUGCAUUACCAAACUUAUCUUGUCUGUCUUCAUUUUCAAACAAAGGAUGGUGUUGUGUUGAUAAUUGAAUAGAUUCAGCCACUCGCAGAAAAUGACUUCCAUUUUCACUCACAAUUUCAGGCCAAUAAUUCCACAUGAAUUUUGCUUUAACAUCAAAGAAUAGACGGUGUGUUUGACUGUAAGCAUGAAAUUUAUAUAAAAAUAAAUAAAUUUUAGAAAAUUGAUUGCAUGUAAAUUAUUAAUUAAUUAUGUUUGAUUGGUCUAAUUUUCAAUGCAGAAAAUGUUAUAUUUGUCCAUAUUUUAUUGGUGGUUAGAUGAAAGAGGGGGUAGAUAAAAGAGAGUGAAUUGUCUAAAAAACAAAAAUUUAUCCUUCCCCAUAUAUAUAUAUAUAUAUAUAUAUAUAUAUAUAUAUAUAUUUUUAAUAAGGAAAAUAUAGUCAUAUGACCAACUUUUGAAAAAUAUCUUUUAUAGAAAAAAAUCAAUCAAACAUCAAAAUUAAGAACAUUUUCAUGGAAAAUAAAGUUAAUCAAAGAUACUGUAAGUAGCAUGUGCAAUCCAGCUGACCUUAUAUGAUCCAAAUCAACUCCCAUUAAACUCAAAAUCACAUUGUUUUUUCCGCUCCAACUGUAUCCUAAGCGGGGUUUUUUCUACAAUUAACAUAAUUAACUUAAAUUAGGUAGAAAUCCGCUCAAUUUAACAAUAAAUAAUCAAGUUUAAAAGUUCAAAUAAAUAUAUAAAAUACAUUUAUCAAGUGCGAGCAGGUAGAAUUAGGUAACCAUUUUUCAAAGAACUGAUAUUUUUCCCGAAUCAAUCAACUUUAGGUGUUAAUGCAAAUAUGAUUAGAUUCUCAACUAGUUGUUGAUUAAGAUAAUAGUUGUACUGCUGCCAAAGUUCAACGCACUUGAUUUAUAGCUUUUAUUGAUGUUAACUGUCAACAUAUAGAAGACAAAUCAAAAGGCCAGAGAUUAUCCCGUGAGAACAUAGGUCAUUAUUAAAUUAUUUUCUACUAUCCGAACAACACAAAUAUAGAUAUAUUUGAUGAUAUCGCUCGACGACUCUAUAUUGUAUAAUAAUAAGAUUUUUAAUUUUUUCUACAAUUCAAUACAUCUAGAUUUUUUUAUUAUUACUAUUAUUUUUUUCUAAUACAGUGUAAUUGAACCCAUAAAACUAAAAUACUUUCCAAUAUCUUGGUUUCUCAAUUAUAAAGGUUGAACCCUAACCUUAAGGGCUUCCACCGCCUCGCCCCGCCCCUAGAGCUUUGUGAGAGAAGUAAAUCUCGGGAUGUGCCCCAACAGGCUAAGAAACAAGAGUUGUCUGUACACUGCGCCUACAAGGAGUCCAAUUUCAUGUCUCAGGAAUCGAACCCCCAAAUUGCGACUGCCAGCAAGGCGUGAGAUAACCCUACUCUUGUCAUUUACACUAUUGGACUAUGUCCGGGGGGCUUGGUUUCUCAAUUAUGAAAGUAUUUUUAAGUGCAUUUAGGAGGCAGUGAAUCGGGUUAGUCCACUAGCUUUCGGUGACGUAUAAUUUUUUAGUAUUCUUGAUGGUAGGAUGAAAGAAGGCUUUUAAGUGCAAUUCGUAAAAUUAGAUGGGAACUCAGUGUAAGAUAAAGUAAGAUUUUAGCUCCAUUUUUCCCCCAAUACUCAUAUUGUUCAGCCAAAGCCGAGUCCAUGCUACCGAAGACGCAAUAAAAUACAUAAAUAAAGGACACGAUGAUUAGAGGUAAAAAAAUCUGUUUGGUCUUUGAACUUGUAUUUGUACUAUUUUUUAUGCUUAUCAACUUAAUUUUCUUACAUACUUAGCACUGAACUCGCUUUUUCUCACCUUGUUAUUCAUUGAAGUCAGAUAAAUCGCUGCAAAUCUACAGAAAUAGAACGCAAGGACAGAAAUCCCAACCAUUUGCUACCACUGAGCAACUAAUACUCUAAAAUUGAACCCGCUUUUCGAGUUUCACAACAAACACUUUUUUUUUUUGUAAUUAAAAUCAUAUUUUGGAAUUCGAUUUUCUCUAGUGGAUUCACCAGUCGUUGACACUCCCCAUGCAAAACGUGCAUAAAAGUCACACAUUUCGUUAGUUUCUAUUAAUCUAUUCGCUAGAAGUGACGCUGAUAAGUAAAAAAACUAUCAUCUUUGUGCACAUUUCAUUAACUAAGAAAGUGAAAGUCAAUAUUCAAUAUGCAAGAGAAGAGGUUCAGUAACUUAAAAAAAGAGUACACGUGUAAGUUCAGUGACCAAACAGAUUUUUAACCUUUUUUCUUUAUUAAAGUUUGAAUGAUUUUCUAAUUGAUCUUAAAGAAAAACCAUGCGAUAUACCUACCAAACUUACGUACUUUCUCAACUUUUCUAUCCAUAGAUAAAGAGGAUGGGAAAAUUAAUUUUAUUUGGUUUCCUCAGCAACACUGUUACGGUGAUCGAAUAUUUUUGACAUAAUGGUUGCGACAUUCCUUCGCAUCAAAGGAACUUCAAUAGCACGUUCGUUAAUUAAAUAUAUCGCUUCCGUCAUCCUACAUCAAGAAGGUGAAUAACAACAAGGAAGUGGGGAAAUACAGAAAGCCAAUGGCACUCAGAAGAAGAAUUUGCAGACUAAUAAAGGUUGUAGAGGAGGUAGAUAAAAAAAAAAAAAAAAAAAAUCCCAGAUAAAGAGAGGAUAGAAAAGAGAAGAAAGAGAUAGAUGACAAAACUAUUUCAUGAAGAAAAACGGAAAGUUGUGUUUGUUAGUUUGAGAGAGACCUGAGAAGUAAUAUUUGUGGAGACGAGGUGGGAGAAUACAGAAGAAGAGUAUAGGGUUUGGCUAAGGAAGGCAGUUGUGUGGCUAAAAUAUAAAGAGCCAAAUGAGGUAGUUCUGGAGAUAGUGGCAGCGGUGGUGCCAGCAGAAGAGGGUGACAGAGAUGCUAUCUACGGUUGAGAUUGCUGUGAGAGGAUCAUUUAUUUUCCUCAUUUGUGUUGCGCUCCAAUGCCAUGCAAAAAUUUACAUUUGGAGCUAAAAAUAAUUGAGCAACCUAAAUUUGUAGUCUAAGUUGUGCUCUGAUAUCAUGUAAAGAUUUGCACUUAGAGCUAAAAAUAAUUGAAUAACCAAAAUUUGCUUCAUGUAUUGACAAUAUUCAUGUUGUUAGAAGUGAGCCAGUCAUAAUACCAUAGUGAAUACAAAGUAAGAGCAAUUCUGCUUGACUUGAGGGUGUUUGGGUUGUUGAAUAAAAUUAGAUUUUUAGUAGAUUUUGAUAGAAAUUUUUGAAAUGUGUGAUUAAAAAGUUGUCGGAUCCAUGAAAGAUGUAGUUAAUAUUGAUUAUUUGACUUUGACUCAGAUUAAAAUUUGAGCCAAACAGGAGCUUAGUUUGUGUAGCUUAUACUACAAUUAAUUUAUAAAAAGUUAAUAUAUACUAGAAUUGUAAUGAAAAGUUGUCUAAGCUUUGUGGAACUUUAUCUUUAAAAUAUGCUACUGAAGUCUCAUUGAUUCAAAUAAAUAUGAGAUACGAUUAUGCUUUACUUUAGAAUCUCAAAAAAUAUGCAUUAAAGACACAUAGAUUUCACACAAAUACUAGAAAUUGGAGAAUAAACCCCACAAUUCUAUUUCUUUUAUUAAAAAAUUAAUCAAAAGUUAAUGAAUACACAUCUCAGCGUCCCUUAUAAAGAUUGCAUAUCCUAAUUACAAAACCUAAUUUUGAUAAAAAAAAAAUCAUAAAAAAUAAUUUUUAUGACAAAAUAAUUAAUAACCCCCAAGUAAAUAAACUGAUAUUAAAAUAAAAUAAUAACCAGUGACCCGCGAGCAUUUUUUUUUUAAAUUCCAUUUGCCGACUGCAUCACUAACCCACCUGGGCCACCUCAAUAUUUUACUUAAUUAAGGUAAUAUUUUUUUAAGUUAAACGAAAAUAGUUGUUGAUAAUAUUAAAAUAUAUUACAUGUUUUGAUUCCUUAAUUCAUUAAUACCUUUUUUUUUUUUUAACAUUCUAAUUGUCAGUUUAUUACCAACACUCUAUUCAACAAUAGAGACAAAGAAAGCUUAAGAGAGGCCUCAGGACAGGUGAGGGCUAUAGUUGUGAUACAAUGAAGUAUUUGAAGAAGAAAGUGAUAUAUUUCAUUUAUUAAUUAUUACCUUUCAAAUCUUAUUUUCACGCUUCAUACAUGUUUACGUAUAUAAAAAUAUUAAAGGUUCUCAAGAAAAUAUUACAUAUUAAAAUUAAGGAAAUUUGCAUUUUUCAUUUCCUUUUGGCCAUUAAAUGAUGGAUUUGUCAUUCUCUUUAAAUAACAAAAAUAAAAGAAACCAGUAAAACAAUAAAAAUAAGGAAAAUUAUGAAUGGAGUAAAAAUAAAUCCCACUUAAAUAAUUAUAUACAUAUUAACAAGUAAAAAAAUAAAAAUAAAAUUGGAGGGGGUGAUUGCUUUAGUAGUUGUGUGUUGACGAGGUAGGAGAGCUUGGUUUUUAAAGAAAAAUGAGUUAUAUAAUAGUGUUUUUUAGAAGAUUAACGAUAUUUGCACAUCAUGAUUUACAAAUUGAUAUAUAGAACAAUGAUAUGGAAGAAAGAGAGAGAAAAAAAAAGUCAAUUAAUAUAAUCCACAUCAUCAUUCCGUAAAUCAAUUUGUAAACCAUGAUAUACAAAUAGUAUUAAAGAAUGUAUAAUUAAAAAAUAAGGAAAAAUUUUAAAUUUAUGUGUAAAAUUAUUUAUUUUAUUGAGAGAAUAAAGAGUAACAAAUAUUUUAUAGAGCCUUCACUGUGUAGGCUCCACAUGUAUUACUUAAAAAAUAAAAAAUUAUGUGGUAUGUGUGUGGCUUGGUAGGGACCUGUUAAACAGGUCCUGUAAGCCUAGUAGAGUUCAAGAAUAAAUGACCGAUAAUAAAUUUUUAAAAAAUGGAGCACGAACAGUAAUCAAAUCGUCGAAACAAAUUGUAAUGGUACGAAAAAUAGCAAAACGGCGCGUUAAGUGAGGUGGUACUUCAGCUCAUCUGCCACCAUUCAUUUUGUUGAUCUAAUAGCAUUUAAAUGCUCACAUCUGUAUCUUCGGCUAAUAGCAUUUAAAUGUGCACACCUGCAUCUUAUCCACAUCUGUAUCUUCGGCAGAUUUUUAUUUUAUUUUAUUAUUAACAUUAUUAUUUUUUUAAGCACUUCUGAUCAAAUAUAUAUUUUAGCCCAUGUUUGAUCCUCAUUAAAUUACAUUUCAUUACAUUCUAUUUUUCUCUCUUCUAUUUUCAACCACAUAAUCUUUCAUAAAAUAAUAUUACACGUAAAUUUAAAUUUUUUCCUUCUUUUUCAAUCACUCAUUUUUUCAACAAAAUACUGUUCCUCCCAUUCUCAUUACCAAAAAUGGGGCCCAAACAUGGCAUAAUCUAUAUACUUAGUAGGAAUAACAAUUAUCAUUUCUAUCUAUUAACGACACACACCACCACAAUUUAUGAAGAAGAAAAAUGCUACUUAAUCAUUUUUGCACUUUUAAGAAAAUCAAUUAAUGAUUAUUCUACUUGAACAUAAUGAACACCGUAAUAGUGUCCAUAAUGUUCAAAUGGCACCCCUUUAUUGGAGGACAAGCGCUUCCUCCAAUAGGGGGCACCACUUGAACAUUAUAGUGUCCAUUAUGUACCACAAGCAUUACUCAUCAAUUAGUAAUACUUCAGCGGCACCUAACAUUAUAUUAUGAAAAAGUAGAACUUGAAACACUAUAAAAAGAUUAUAUGAAAAAUUAUAAUUAGUUUUAUUAGUUAAAUUAAUAAAGUUAUGUAGUACUGUUGGUCCCAUAACAUUAAUGUAUAUGUUUUUAAUCGAUAGAUCAAGUUUCAUGUCCUUCCUUUAAAAUGAUGUAUCAGUUAAUUAUACGUGAAUGCCCCACACACAAGUAGAAUCGACUAUGCUAAAUAUCAUUACUCAAAUUAAAUAUAUAAAAAUGUAGUUAAUAAUAAUUUAAAUUUUAAUCACUUGUUAAUCUUAUUAUAUUACAAGAAUUAAACUUCGAAAUUAUGUAAAUUAUUUGUUGAAGGUGAAAUUAAGUUAGUUCGUUUUUAAAGUCCAUGAAAAGUCAAUAAUAACUGUAAUGUGCAAUUGUUGAUCUAUGCAUUCAAAUAUUAUUUGGUAAAAAAAUCUGUAAAGUUUCAGUUUUCAAAUUUUAUUAAAAUUUUUUUUGAAAAAAUGGAAAAUUCUAUUAGAAUUGUCCAUACGGUUUUAAACGUCUUAAAAGCUUGGGUAGUUAAACUUUCUCUCUUAUUGUCUGUCUGGAGCUGCUUCUUCAGUGGCUUUUAAGCAAAAAAAAGAGUUGUUACCAACAUUGCGGGUCCCACCCGAGAGAGGAAUAGUCAGAAAUGAUGGCCACUGUUGAAAACUAAAGAUUUUUUGACCAUAAAAAUCCAUUUCAAACAGUCUCUUAUCCACCGUCCUCUCUCUAGGUGUGAACAAAGAUUAAGACGCAAAAAUGGCUGCUGUCCUGUUUGGCGUGCAAAAAAUCAUAUACAUGGCUUGGAGUAAAACUAUAAAACUAUGGUCAUUGCUUGUUGAAUCAGUGGUCAAAUAUGGAAAUUGUUGGAUCAAAAAUUCAAAUGGCUAUUGAAUUUUGUACAAUGUCCUUCAUUAGCUGGUUAGUUAAAAAUUUAAAAAGUUUUCGAAGGGUUGUUGAACUUAUCAAAUUGUUAUCCCAUUUCAUCUUUAAACUUUGAAAGUUUUUUGGAUUGUAAUUGAAUUUAUCAAACCGUUAUUCCAUCUACCACUUAAUUUAUUCACCGCUAGAAAAUUUGAUAGACUCGCUGAAGUGACAAAUGAAACACUGAUAAAAAUACGUUAUUGUCAUUGUUGACGACAAAUCAGCAAAAAAAAUGCACUUAUACAAUAAUAAUAUAUCAAGAUUGCGAGUUCGUCAAAUUUUCUAAUAUUCAGUUCUUAAAUAGUGGAUGAGAUAACGAUUUGAUAAGUUCGGUGACCAUCCAAAAAACUUUUGAAGGUUCAUGAUCAAUGAAUAAUAUCAUGUAAAGUUCAAUUGCCAUUUGAAUUUUUAACCCCAAUCUUUUAUGUUCAAAUCUGGAAUUAGAUUACUUCUCAUUUAAAACCCACAUAAAAGUUCAUAAUAAUUUUGCAAUGUUUAGUCCAAUUUUUCAAAUAUUUUGCUUAAAAGUUUACUCCUGAUUUCCAAAUUUCUUUGUGUAAAAAGUAUAUAGUGCGAGAUAAAUAAAUAUGCAAAUUUCGUGUAAAACUAUGUUCGAACAGGAAAAUAUCCCAACACCCUUCCGAAAACUAUCCCAUUCACCCUUGUCCUUGCAUGGAAGUGAAUAUUCGAAAAGUACUUUUUUUUUUUUUUUUUUUUUUUUGUGGGAGAAGACACAAUUAAAAAAGUAGAAAAAAAGUUAUGGAAACAUUUUAAAAUUAAUAUUUUUAAAGAAUGUAUAGUUAAAAAUAAGCGGAAAAAAUAGAUUAUCAAAUAAUCGCUGUCAAACAAAAGUCAAGACAUUUCUUUCCUUUUCAUUCGAGGACUAGGACACGUGAAAAACUUCUGCCAUAUCAAUAACGUGGAGCAACAUUUCUUUCCUUCUCAUUGUAGGAUUAGGACACGUGAAAAACUUUUCUCCUACAAAUAACGCGGAGCACUCCGAAACCUUAGUUCUUAACAUGGAUAUAAACCUAAGAGAAUUCAAGUUAGAAUCGUAGUAGGUAUUCUUUGCUUAAUUUCUAGUGCACUCCAUGCGUAAAGGCGUUGGUUAAUUUCUUGUAUCGUAAAACUAAAACCCUCCUUUUGGUUUAGCUUCUGCGUUGAAAGAUACAGAGAAGAAAGGCAUAUUAAUACAAAUCAAGAAACCAAGAUGAUCCGAGUAAUGGAUGAAAGAGAAGUCAGUCUUCAUUUACAGGCAAUUCCAUGCCGAUUGUUGAGGUUUCUUGUUCCUUUUGGAUUGUUCAGAACAUUCGCAGGCCAAAUAUGGAGAUUAUUUGCAGGCCAAUGCCAGAAUUUGUGCGAUUUCAUAUCGGUGAAGCUUGCAGAAGAGGCAGCGAAGCCUGUGAUUUUGGGUCCCCCUUUACAUGAUAAGUGUAAAUGAUGCCAUGGAAAAGAACUCAUUCAUGUUCGACUUACUUUUACUAAUAGUUAUUGAACUUUAAUAAUGUGGAGAUUUUUACCUUUCUUAUACAGAUUCUUCGUUAAUUGUGUUUUCUUGAUUUAAUUUUAUGUACAGUAUUACGUUUGAAAGAAAAUUGCAGCAUUGGUCACCAAGUUGUGAGGUUGAGCAGCUACUUUUAUGUGUUAAUAAAGCAUCGUGACCCUUUGGUGGGUCGAUCAAUUGCAUUGGGUAAUAGAUGAAGGAUCUAUCUUAA
rnacentral:lncRNA from 1 species